rnacentral:rRNA from 1 species
GAUGAACGCUGGCGGCGUGCCUAACACAUGCAAGUCGAACGGAGUCCAGCCUUUAAGACCUUCGGGUCAAAGAGGGGAAGACUGAGUGGCGGACGGGUGAGUAACACGUGGGCAACCUGGCUCAUAGAGGGGGAUAACAGAGAGAAAUUUCUGCUAAUACCGCAUAAGCACACACUGCCGCAUGGCAGAGGGUGAAAAGAGAAUCGCUAUGAGAUGGACCCGCGUCUGAUUAGCCAGUUGGCAGGGUAAGAGCCUACCAAAGCGACGAUCAGUAGCCGAUCUGAGAGGAGGAACGGCCACAUUGGGACUGAGACACGGCCCAAACUCCUACGGGAAGCAGCAGUGGGGGAUAUUGCACAAUGGGGGGAACCCUGAUGCAGCGACGCCGCGUGAGUGAAGAAGUAUUUCGGUAUGUAAAGCUCUAUCAGCAGGGAAGAUAAUGACAGUACCUGAAUAAGAAGCCCCGGCUAACUACGUG